AAAAAUUAACCACCACCUAUUCAUCCCAAAAAUUCCCCGCCUCUUCGAAUUUGGGCAUUCGUCUUCAUCCACAACUUCCUCAAUUCCUCGAUCCAUCACCUUCACCAAAAACCUACUUCGCGGUUCCAACAAGUUCUUACACUCUUAAUUCGACCCUAAUGAGCUGAGGAUUUAGGGUUCUUACCUCCCAGUUAUCAAUUUGAGCCGAUGAUUUAGGGUUCCUAAAUCCGACCCUAAUUUUUUCUAUCUCACUCUCGUAUUUCCAUCUCAUCCCUCUCGCCUGGUUCAAAACACGUAAGCGGCGACGAACACACUAUUUAUUUGCAUAUUUUGGUCUUCACCAAGAUCUGGUUUCCAUGUAAGCUUUAUGUUUCGAGCCCAAACCAUCCUCACGCGAUGUCAUCAGCUUCUCUUACUUACGCAUCUACACUCGAUGGUUCUUUGUCUAGAAGCACCACUCCCGAACCUCAAAUCGUGGCUACGCUCCAUCAUCACCACACGCUGCUCGGUUCUGGAUUUGUUAGGGCUUGUUUUAUCCAUUCAUUUCCUCCCUACCACAAGUGAUCUUAUAACUCUGCAAAAUCGACCUCCUUCAAUCAUCUUUUCUAUAUCUUCAUAUGAUACAAGCUCUUCAGAUACUCUAGUCAAAGACAUCACUGGCUCCCCUCCCGUUGCCACUGAUUCCUCCACCCUCGCCGGCGUCAUACCUUCUUUCUCGUUGCCAACGUCCUUUUCUUCCUUCCCGUCGCCGACAUCCUGAACUCGUUUGGUAAGAGUUUAAGGCCUGGACUAUUUGGGCACGAAGUUUCUAGGGUUCUUGGUGGUGGUCUGGUACCUGGUUCUUUGAUUUUGAUUGGUGGUGAUCCAGGUGUCGAGAAAAGUACACUAAUAUUACAAAUCGCAGCCAUUAUAGCAGAAGGGAGAGAAAUCGGUAAACCAGCUCCUGUGCUUUAUGUCUCUGGAGAAGAGAGUGUUGAGCAAAUUGGAAACAGAGCAGAUCGUAUGGAAAUCGACACAGAAGAAUUCUUCUUGUAUUCAAGUACAGACAUUGAGGACAUUUUGGGAAAAGCUCAAGCUCUCUCUCCACGUGCCCUAAUCAUAGAUUCAAUCCAAACAGUUCAGCUAAUGGGAGUAACUGGAUGUGCUGGAGGUAUCUACCAGGUUAAAGAAUGUACAGUAGCCUUGUUGCGUUUUGCUAAGAAGACAUAUAUACCCGGUUAUAGCCAUAUGAUGACGUUGCAUUUCCAGACCUUGUAUUAACCGAAUGUUGUAUAGGAAAUAAGAGUCACUUCCGUGUGAUGUUUUAUGUGGAAGUUAGUUCAGGGUAUUUCUCAACAAACCUGCCAGCUGAGCUUACAAGCACAACUGAAUUAAAGUUAAAGAAUAGCAAUAGCAAUCAGUGGCAACCCCUUCUUACAUUUAUUGAAAUCUCAAGACGUUUUUCUCUCAAAGCAAAAGCCAUUAGAUUCCGGGGAACAAUUGAAGAUUGCAACACUCUCCUGCAACAAAUCCUUUAUCAUGUGAGUUCCUAUUUUUUUUUUUUUUUAAGAAAUUGCAACAUACUUUUAUUUACUUGUUUUCAUUCCUUUAUAUUGCAACACCCUACUUCAAAAUAAUGCAUUUUACUUUAAAAAUCUACCCAAUUAUACCAUUGUACUUUCAACUUUUGUCUUAUUAUAACAUUGUUUUACCUCGAUAGAAUCUAACUGAAUGUCUGUAAGUACAAACAAUAAUAAAAUACAGGGUGAUGAGGAAGGUGGGGUGCUUACAGUGAGUGUUAAUGAUAUGGGGUGGUAUGGAUGUUAUCCAGAAGAUUGUGAAGAGAUGAUGUCAGCGCCUCUUAUCUUUGAGGCCACCAUUAACUUGAUAAGAAAGAUGCAUGUCGAUCCGAUGGUUGCUCACUAUAAGUUACAUCUUUAUGCUGCUUUUUGCUACUAAUCGAACAGGGAAUGGAAUUGACCAUUCCGAUUCCUUCGUCCAAUGGGGAAGGGUGUUUUUUUUGUGUUCACUCACUCUUUGAUGAAAUGGAAUGAUUUUGUUAUAAUUAUCAAUUACUAUCAUCCAUAUAAUCAUCAAUAACAAUAAUAUAUUUAAAAAGUUUCAAAACUUCAAUUAAAUUAUUUUUUGGUAUUUUUCUAAAAGUAAGUAAAAAUAUUUUUCUGAUAGUAGUUUUAUUUAAAGAUUUUAUUAUGUAUCUUAUUAAGUUAUUUCUGUAAACACUUUUUUUAAGUGAUGAAAUUCAUUCCAUUUCCUCUAGCCAACCAAACAUGAUAAUGGAAUGCAAUGAUCUAUUCCAUUAUGUUGAUUCCAUUCUGUUGUGAUUGAUUCCAUAGAUAAUUAUUUAACUGAUAAUUAUUUCAUUACAUAAUGUACAUCAUUUAUGUCAGCGAUUUUGAUCGAAGCCAUUACACUCACAUUAUUGGUUGCGUUACUAAUAUUUUUCACAUGUAAAUGUGUAUUUAUCCUACUACACAAAAAGAUCAAAAAUCAACCUCAACCUCAAUCUCAAAAUUUACAACACAUGUCAAGUACAAAAGACUCAUCUGAGAAUAUAACUGGACAGCCUUCUGGCUUAUCUAAACGGUUUCAUGAGGAAUCAAAAUUGGGCUAAGUGUUGAUUCUCACAUGUCGUUCCCAAUUGGAGAAAAUUAGUGGAACUCCAUCUGUAACCGUAUUUUUCCAACUUCUUUUGCCACAGAUCUUGAUUCAUUACAGCCUAUCCAAUUAGGGAGUCGUACCCGUAUCAGAAGCAACCAGAGCUUGUUGAAUUGGUGAUCAAGGCUUUCAAACAACUUCAUAAGGCAAAGUGUCUUGCUAUAAACUCAGAUGUUGUGAGGUUUCUUUCAGGGUUUCCUGAAGAACUUGAAAGAAAAUGCCCUUUAUGAGUUUGACAAGUUUGAAUUUGGUUGAAAGAAAGGUUCCCUGAAGAAUUGCUCCAGAUAUCUGGGGACUUGAAUACCAAUUGCACUAUUUCUCCAUUAUUUGAGAAGGGAGAGUUAACUUAUGGGAUGAUUGGGGAAUGGCGUUUUGACAAAAGGUCAUAUCUUCGUGACUUUGUGCAGUUUCUAUGAGUAUUUACUUAAAGUGUGGAUACAAAGAAACAAAGCUGCAACUAUGAAGCCUUAUAACUUGCUAGGACAUGCUAUAACUUUUAUCAGUCCACACCAACAAAGUUGGCUGGAGAAAACUUCUUCCUCCAUUCAGGGCAGCUAAUGUUCAAGUCAUUAUUUGUCAUCUACACUAGAUGGACAACAACCAAUUUUUUGAUAUAGAGGAUUUGUUUUUUACAUGAUAUCUAAAACAAGGUGUCCCUUAAUAGCAAUGUAAUAAUAGGUUAGAUAGUUAGGGAUUGUAUUUUAUGCAAUGGAUUGUAUUUUUUGUAUAUGAUUAUUUGUAUGACAUUAAAUUUUAUGCAAUGGAUUGUAUUUUUUGUA